rnacentral:rRNA from 1 species
GACGUAGGGGGCCAGCGUUGCUCGGAAUAACUGGGCGUAAAGGGUCCGUAGGCGGUGCGGCAAGUCGGAAGUGAAAUCUCUGGGCUUAACUCAGAGGCUGCUUCCGAAACUGCCGUGCUCGAGUGUGGGAGAGGCGAGUGGAAUUGCAGGUGUAGCGGUGAAAUGCGUAGAUAUCUGCAGGAACACCAGAGGCGAAGGCGGCUCGCUGGACCACAACUGACGCUGAGGGACGAAAGCUAGGGGAGCAAAC